AUUGAACGCUGGCGACAGGCCUAACACAUGCAAGUCGAGCGGGGUUUUCGGACCUAGCGGCGGACGGGUGAGUAAUGCGUAGGAAGCUGCCCGAUAGAGGGGGAUACCAGUAGGAAACGACUGUUAAUACCGCAUAAUGUCUACGGACCAAAGUGUGGGACCUUCGGGCCACAUGCUAUCGGAUGCGCCUACGGGGGAUUAGCUAGUUGGUGAGGUAAUGGCUCACCAAGGCGACGAUCUCUAGCUGGUUUGAGAGGAUGAUCAGCCACACUGGAACUGAGACACGGCCCAGACUCCUACGGGAGGCAGCAGUGGGGAAUUUUGGACAAUGGGCGCAAGCCUGAUCCAGCCAUGCCGCGUGUCUGAAGAAGGCCUUCGGGCUGUAAAGGACUUUUGUCCGGGAGCAAAUGCCUGGUGUUAAUAGCACUGGGAGCUGAGAGUACCGGAAGAAUAAGCACCGGCUAACUACGUGCCAGCAGCCGCCGCAGUAA
rnacentral:rRNA from 1 species